rnacentral:lncRNA from 1 species
AACUAAUAACGUCCAAAUUGUCAACAUGAUACUUCUUUGUAGAGUAAAAUUUAAGAAUGCUCAGAAGAAUAUUUCCAUGAAAAGAUAUUAGAUGAAGCGUAAAUAUCAAGGAUAUUCCACUAAUUUCAUGGAGUAUAGAAAUCAAAACUUUAACCAACUGAAUAUAAUAAAGAAUGGAAUAACAAAAGAAAUCACCAUGCAUGCGGUACUUCGCAUAGACAGGUUAUUCCAACAGAAUAAUAAAUAACGGAAC